UACAGGGGGGGCAAGCGUUGUUCGGAAUUACUGGGCGUAAAGGGCCAGUAGGCGGCCAACUAAGUCCGACGUGAAAUCCCCAAGCUUAACUUGGGAACUGCGUCGGAUACUGGAUGGCUUGAAUUCGGGAGAGGGAUGCAGAAUUCCAGGUGUAGCGGUGAAAUGCGUAGAUAUCUGGAGGAAUACCGGUGGCGAAGGCGGCAUCCUGGACCGACAUUGACGCUGAAAGGCGAAGGCUAGGGGAGCAAACGGG
rnacentral:rRNA from 1 species